ACAUAUAUAGUAUAGGUUUUAUAUUCAAUUUAGGUUUGAAAGAAUAAAUGUAUGUU
rnacentral:tRNA from 1 species